CCUCUCUUCUGCUUCAACUUCACGUGAAAAAACUCUCAAGCCUCCCCUUGCUUCCUACUGCUCGUGCCGCCGCCACCACCAACCUGCGACCAUCGUCGUUCCUCGCCGUCGCCGGUCUGCACGGUAGCCUCCUCCGAUCCUUCUUCCUCUUCUCCUUCGUUUUCUUGCACUCCUCCUCACUUGUGUAUUCUUGUUUUCGCACAGCACCACCACCACGUUGCCACCAUCGCUCGUGGCUUUGCCUCAGCCGCCGUCGCUGCAGCCCUCGCCGUCCACCACUGCGAGCAACCACCGCUACCGCCCACGACAGCAACCACCUUCGUCCGGCCGUCAUUCCGCCGCUGCCGCACUCCUGCACCGCCGUCCAGCCCUCUUCUCUUCUCCCUCUUGGCGGAGAAUUCUCUGUAGGCGACUUUUAAAAGUGUUAAAGUGGCCUAUCAAUUUGUUUACACAAGGUUUGAAGAUGAUGCAUCAUUGGGUUCGGGAUUGGAGAGCUUGUAGUUUAAUUUGAUUUGCUAAAGUAAAUUUGGUUUGUUUAAUUGGACUUUAAACUUGUUGAAUUAGUUACAUCGACUUUGUUUUCGUUGAUUGGUUUUGGAAUUAAUUCCGUAGUUGACUAUUUAUAAAUUUAA